GUGUUUGUGUUUUACACCCCAUUGCUCCCCAGGCCGGCGGCCCUUUCCGCUGCUUUCCGGGAAUGGCUUCUUUUCCUUCGACGGUGCCUUAUUUUAUGAAUCACGCCCGAUAACAUCCGCCUUUUGCCACCGAUAAACGCAUGAACAGUGGCGUGCUCUUUACCUCCUAUUCCUCGGCAUUAGAUUUAGAGCGCGAUUGGAUUUUUCACACAACACAACCACCACAAAGAAGGUAUACACGCCCCAGUGCCUUAUCUUGAGGUGGGGGGAGGGUGAGCAAUAGGUCUAACACGCACGCACACACUCGACGCACCAGAUGCAGAAAUAGUGCCUCGUUUUUCACUUUUACCAACUACAAAUCGACCGUACAACACCGCCCACACGCCAAGCUGCAAUUUAAUGAUCCACACGUACCUGUUUCGACGGGGUUGAGGAUGUUUUUCACACGGAAAAUUGCACGGAAAAUGUUCGGGUGUAUCGAGCGAAGAGGAGCCACGGCGAAGACGGCAAUCGCAAAACGCACUCUCUGCACAGGAAACGAUACAGCACUUAACAGAUUUUGAGGGCGGCACAGGUGCGUUUAUUGCCGCGAAACGUUACGAUUGCCACUUACACUACACCGUGUUGAAUUAAAACAUUUGUAACUAAUCUAAAUAAAAAGUUUAAAGGGGGAAAAAAUACUGCCUCCGUCUUCCUCAA